CUAAGCCUAAGCCUAAGCCUAAAGUCCUAAGCCUAAGCCUAAGCCUAAGACCUAAGCCUAAGCCUAAGCCU
rnacentral:precursor_RNA from 1 species